rnacentral:rRNA from 1 species
GUGGGGAAUUUUGGACAAUGGGGGAAACCCUGAUCCAGCCAUGCCGCGUGCGGGAAGAAGGCCUUCGGGUUGUAAACCGCUUUUGGCAGGAACGAAACGGCGCGCGCCAAUACCGCGCGUUAAUGACGGUACCUGCAGAAUAAGCACCGGCUAACUACGUGCCAGCAGCCGCGGUAAUACGUAGGGUGCAAGCGUUAAUCGGAAUUACUGGGCGUAAAGCGUACGCAGGCGGCUAUGCAAGACAGGUGUGAAAUCCCCGGGCUCAACCUGGGAACUGCACUUGUGACUGCAUGGCUAGAGUCCGUAAGAGGGGGGUGGAAUUCCACGUGUAGCAGUGAAAUGCGUAGAGAUGUGGAGGAACACCGAUGGCGAAGGCAGCCCCCUGGGAUGAGACUGACGCUCAUGUACGAAAGCGUGGGGAGCAAACAGGAUUAGAAACCCUUGUAGUCC